GAUGAACGCUAGCUACAGGCUUAACACAUGCAAGUCGAGGGGCAGCAUGGUCUUAGCUUGCUAAGGCCGAUGGCGACCGGCGCACGGGUGAGUAACACGUAUCCAACCUGCCGUCUACUCUUGGACAGCCUUCUGAAAGGAAGAUUAAUACAAGAUGGCAUCAUGAGUCCGCAUGUUCACAUGAUUAAAGGUAUUCCGGUAGACGAUGGGGAUGCGUUCCAUUAGAUAGUAGGCGGGGUAACGGCCCACCUAGUCUUCGAUGGAUAGGGGUUCUGAGAGGAAGGUCCCCCACAUUGGAACUGAGACACGGUCCAAACUCCUACGGGAGGCAGCAGUGAGGAAUAUUGGUCAAUGGGCGAGAGCCUGAACCAGCCAAGUAGCGUGAAGGAUGACUGCCCUAUGGGUUGUAAACUUCUUUUAUAAAGGAAUAAAGUCGGGUAUGCAUACCCGUUUGCAUGUACUUUAUGAAUAAGGAUCGGCUAACUCCGUGCCAGCAGCCGCGGUAAUACGGAGGAUCCGAGCGUUAUCCGGAUUUAUUGGGUUUAAAGGGAGCGUAGAUGGAUGUUUAAGUCAGUUGUGAAAGUUUGCGGCUCAACCGUAAAAUUGCAGUUGAUACUGGAUAUCUUGAGUGCAGUUGAGGCAGGCGGAAUUCGUGGUGUAGCGGUGAAAUGCUCAGAUAUCACGAAGAACUCCGAUUGCGAAGGCAGCCUGCUAAGCUGCAACUGACAUUGAGGCUCGAAAGUGUGGGUAUCAAACAGGAUUAGAUACCCUGGUAGUCCACACGGUAAACGAUGAAUACUCGCUGUUUGCGAUAUACAGCAAGCGGCCAAGCGAAAGCGUUAAGUAUUCCACCUGGGGAGUACGCCGGCAACGGUGAAACUCAAAGGAAUUGACGGGGGCCCGCACAAGCGGAGGAACAUGUGGUUUAAUUCGAUGAUACGCGAGGAACCUUACCCGGGCUUAAAUUGCAGAUGAAUUACGGUGAAAGCCGUAAGCCGCAAGGCAUCUGUGAAGGUGCUGCAUGGUUGUCGUCAGCUCGUGCCGUGAGGUGUCGGCUUAAGUGCCAUAACGAGCGCAACCCUUGUUGUCAGUUACUAACAGGUUCCGCUGAGGACUCUGACAAGACUGCCAUCGUAAGAUGUGAGGAAGGUGGGGAUGACGUCAAAUCAGCACGGCCCUUACGUCCGGGGCUACACACGUGUUACAAUGGGGGGUACAGAGGGCCGCUACCACGCGAGUGGAUGCCAAUCCCCAAAACCUCUCUCAGUUCGGACUGGAGUCUGCAACCCGACUCCACGAAGCUGGAUUCGCUAGUAAUCGCGCAUCAGCCACGGCGCGGUGAAUACGUUCCCGGGCCU
rnacentral:rRNA from 1 species